AGAGGGGAGCAGCCAGCAGUCUUAUGCUACCACUGUGGCUCAUCCUGCGACCUGAGAGAAACCUGGGCAACUGUGAGCACCAGAGGCCAAGUCCUGGACAGUCUUUAGGCCAUGUUGGAACUACAUUUGGAAAGGUGGUUGUUAAACAUUUCCCAGCACACACCUGGAUCUGCAUCUGCUGUGUCAAUUGAACCACUCACUGGUUCUGUGACCUCAGGCAAGUCAUUUAAAUUAUAAGCCUUGGUUUUAUCCUCCACAGAAUACUUCCUCCUAAAAUGUGUUGUGAAAAUUAGAAUAGAUGAAGGCACCCUUGAAAAGAUGACUGAUGCGGUUGGUUGCCCCACCACUUCCUACUACUUGGCAGAGCCUCCUCGUUGGCAGAUCCUUCUCUCACUAGAGCAUGUAUAUGGAUGCAUGCUCUCUCACCCUCCCUUGUAGCUUAGAGCAGAGCAUACCAAUCUAUGUGCCAGCAUACCCUGGUAUGUCUCAGAUGGGUCAUAGAUGUGAUAAGGUAUGGAUCCCUUAAGCCCUUGGGACAUUCAAGUGAGGCUGAGCUGCUGAAGCCCUGGGAUGGUAUGACUGGCCACAAGCAACAUUACCCAGGUACCCCUCUGUGUCACAAAAACGUUAUCUUUGUAUUUGUGUCAUGGUGUGAAAAAAUUGAGAAGCACUGCCUGGGGACAUAGUGAGGUAGCCCAAUUCUGGAUAAAGGAAAUUGAGAAGUCUUGAGGGGGUAGAGAGGUUUUCUUCCCUAAUAAGAAGAAUCACAGGAGAGAAAAUGCCUUCCUCAGCCAUAUGUUGUUAUUUCUAUAUGUGAGCCUGGAAUUUCAAGGUUAUCUUGCAAAGAACCAAGGCAAUGUAGAGAAAAGAAUUGAUAGCAAGUGGCUGGAUCUUUCACAUUGUAAAGCCAUUGAGCCAUCCGUGCAAUUGCCCACCUUGGGAAUUUAUUUUUAAGAGUGAUAAUAAAUGCUCCUCAUUGUUUAAACUACUUUGAUUUUUGUAUUUGGUUAUUCAUAAUUAAAAACACCCAAAUACAGUAGAAGAACUGGUACAUCCCUGACACCUAAUGAGUGCUCAAUAUGGUUAGUUAAUCACCAAAUUAGAUCCUUUGCCUUUAGAAAAGCUGCCAUGGUCAAAUGUGUGUUGAUCUUAUUUUUCGUAAAUAUUUAAGAAAUUUGUUCAGUAACUAGCUUAACUUUUAAUAUUUAUCUUGAGUCUCUUCUAAAUAUGUUUUUACUGUAUAAUAAAAGCAAUAAUUGAAAAAUGACAUCAUUUUAAGCUUGAGAGCAACUAGAUACAAAGAUGUUGAUAUGCAUUUUCUCUUCUUGAAGGAUCUAGACAAACUGGAGCACCAUUACAUGAAAAAGGUUAAAGAAUCAAUGUUUUGCAAAAUAGAACUGGAAUUAAUUCAUGGGAAUUACAGAGAAGAUCAUAUUAGUUCAAUAUAAAAAGAGGGCCUAGAAUGUGCCAAGCUCCAUACAAUGCCCCUCAUGAGUGUUAUUUAAUUCUCACAACAACUUUGCAAAAAAGAAACUAUUUUUUUUUCCAUUUUACAAAGGAGGAAGCUAAGGCUGUGAAAAAGAGCUCUUUUGCAAGCCUAGGACCUGAUUCCAAAAUUCCCACUCUUUCUGUUGCAAAUUCUGGCUAAGCUUUCCAGAGAUGACUUGCUUUCCCCUUGAGGCCCUUUCAGUGCAUUGUGCCAUGGAAAACAAAAAGCCCAACAAUGACAUCUUUACCAAAGAUGCCUUGGGGAGAUGGGAGAAGAGUUACAAUGCACAUUACACAGCAAAAUCUUUUUUAAGCUCCAAGUAAAAUUGGUUUUUUCUUAGAGUUUUGCUUCCAGCAGUCACUUCCUCCAUUCUCCUGCUCUCUCCACGUGAGGAAAACUUCUAUCCUGCCUUCUCCUAAUACACUUUCCUGUUUUUUUUUUCCUGCACAUUUCUUAAAAAUCCCACAUAAGGCAAAAGCCAAGACAAUAUCCAUCAACACCUCCACCCCCACCGCAUGUCCAUGGAGAGCUUCAAGUCAUCCUGCCGCUGGUACAAACACGGCAGAGGCCUCUUUGUAAAGAAGUGGUAGGUAGAAUUCAGGUUAGCACCAGAAUCUGAAAACUCCAGCUCCUUUGACUGGGACCAGGCUGGUAAUAUAAAUGUUAGAUCAGGCUGGGUCUGACACAAUGGGGAUCAGUAGAGCAUACUUGUCACAUUUGAAGGCAUUCAGAAAAAUAAUAACCUUAAAACAUUCUAAACAUGUUGCAAUCAAAGAGGAUACCCCUUGACCACUGCACGAAUUGGAGUUCAAAGAUCAUCUCUCUUUUGCCUAGGCUGUAGACUAGUUAUUUAACCUCUCUCAGACUUGGUUUCCUCUUCUGGAACAGGGUAUAUCAACUACCUUGCAGAAAUAAAUGACAUCCUGUACACAAUGCACCUACCACGUUGCCUGACCCAAUAAUGUGUACAUACAUAAGAAAAUGUUCAUGCCCUUUGCUCACUUUAAAAUUUUUUUUUCUUGUAUAUUUGUUUAAGUUCUUCGUAGACUCUGGAAUGGAGCUGGAAGCUGUCAUCCUCAGCACACUAACGCAGGAACAGAAAACCAAGCACUGCAUGUUCCCACUUAUAAGUGAGAGCUGAACGAGCAGAACACAUGGACAUAUGAAGGGGAACAACACACUCUGGGGCCUGUGAGGUGCAGGGAGAGCAUCAAGAAGAACAGCUAAUGGGUGCUGGGCUUAAUACCUGGGUGAUGGGUUGAUCUGUGCGGCAAACCACCAUGGCACACAUUUACCUAUGUAACAAACCUUGACAUCCUGCACAUGUACCCCGGAACUUAAAAAUAAAAGUUGACAAAAAGAAAACAUAA
rnacentral:lncRNA from 10 species